AAGACCAGCCUUUCAGGGGUCAUUUCUAUGGUUCAUUACCAGGAGGUUUCUCUUAACAUGUAGAGAAGCUGAAACCACAAGAACGUGCCUCCUGAGCUUGAAGUGGUUUUUGGUGUUGCAUCCACAACUGCUGUUUGCCCAUGAUGAUUGUCCUUCUCUUCCCUCAGGGGGGUAAGAGGGGGAGAAUGCCAUCUGAGUGGU